AGGGGGGGCAAGAGGGGGAGGAGGGCGGCGGUGGCGGUGGCCCGGCCGAGGGGGGGCAGAGUGCAGAGGAUGUUCCCCAUUCCAAGACGGAAGGUGCUGCAAAAGAUGGGGCCGAAGAAGAAAACAACACAAGGGAGGAGCCUGUGGCUGAUACAGAGCAAAGAUCA
rnacentral:SRP_RNA from 14 species